UUGGAGGGCAAGUCUGGUGCCAGCAGCCGCGGUAAUUCCAGCUCCAAUAGCGUAUAUUAAAGUUGUUGCAGUUAAAAGGCUCGUAGUUGAAUUUCGGGAUUGACGUGACGGUCAUGCCUUAAGGGGUAUGAACUGUUACUGUUGAUUUCUCACCUUCUGGAGAAACUUGAUGUUCCUGUCUUGCGAAUCCAAGACCCUUACCUUGAAAAAAUUAGAGUGUUUAAAGCAGGC
rnacentral:rRNA from 1 species